rnacentral:rRNA from 1 species
GAUUUUCAGUGAAUCAUCGAAUCUUUGAACGCACCUUGCGCCCCUUGGUAUUCCGAGGGGCAUGCCUGUUUGAGUGUCAUU